CGGCUACAGACCCUUUAGACCCAAUAAUAACGGUUACCACUCGAGCCGCCGGUGUUACCGCGGCGGCUGGCACCGGUCUUGCCCGGCCCUUGCUAUGAAAUGCUUUUUAGGCAUCUCGACAGCCAGAUUUGUAACCUGGCACUCGAGGUUCCCUUAUCGCUGUUGCCAGCAUUGUAAAGUUUUCGCGCCUGCUGCACCCCGUAGGGCCUGGAUUCGUGUCUCAGAAUCCAUCUCCGGGCUCUUGCUCUCACAACCCGUACCCGUCGUAGGCUAGUAGGUACGCUACACCCACUACUACCUGAUAGGCCGCAGACCCAUCCUUAGGCGCCGGAGCUUUCAAUCUCGAUGCAUUCCAGCAGCCGAGACCUAUAGGGGAUUAUACCCAGUUUCCCGGGUUUAUACCCAACCUAAGGGCAGGUUGUCCACGUGUUACUGAGCAGUACGCCAUGUAUUGCUACAUUCGACUCGCAUGGCUUAGUCGAACCUCGAUAGCAGUAACCUCUGGCAGGAUCAACCGGA
rnacentral:rRNA from 1 species